UGGCUCUCGCAUCGAUGAAGAACGCAGCGAAAUGCGAUAAGUAAUGUGAAUUGCAGAAUUCAGUGAAUCAUCGAAUCUUUGAACGCACCUUGCGCCCCUUGGUAUUCCGAGGGGCAUGCCUGUUUGAGUGUCAUGUAAUUCUCAAUCCUCUUCUUCUUAAUUGGGGGAAGGGGUUUGGACCUGGAGGUAUAUGUAAUGCUGGUACUCCCUGUAUCGGCUCCUCUCAAAUGCAUUAGCUGGACUGUAGUUCGCGUUGUUUGGUGUAAUAGUCUUCUAUUUAUAUUCACUACAGCGCUUACUUGGACUGUCUGCUUCCAAUUGUCCGCCUAUGUGCCGGACAGGUACUCUGUUACCUUAAAUCAUUUGACCCCUUUGACCUCAAAUCAGGUAGGACUACCCGCUGA
rnacentral:misc_RNA from 1 species